AUGAGGAAUAUUGAGCAUCUUCUUCUCCAGGUUCCGGCAGCCAAGGUCGGGGAAGGGCGGGUCCGCGCGCGGGUCCCGCGCAAACCCAGAGAUCCCAGAGCCCGGGCGGGGGAGGUCUGCACCCGCGAGGGCGCCGCCGGGCCUCGCGAAGCCGCCGCGGCCGGCAGAGGGCGCCCGGGCCCGCCGAGCUCGCGGUGCUGGUCGGGGCGCUCCCGCGCGCGGGGCGCAGGCGGCAGGUCCGCGGUGGCCGAGGCGCGCGAGGAGCCCGCCGCCCGGGCGGAGCAGGACGUUUGGAGAGCUGCCGUGGAGCUGGGGCUUGGAGGAGUGAGGCAUGUAUUUUCAGCUGCACCUUCUAAAGGGGAGACCUGUCACCACCAGAGAGGCAACAGCUCCCAAAUAUGACUACAGAUGACUAGAUCCACAGAGGCCUGGGAGUCUCUGGAUUGAUAGUUUAGAAUAUGCUAAAAAGCCAGGGCUUUCCACAGAGAAUUGAAGGGGCAGCUGGUCAACACGACAGCGACCUGGAGCAAGGGAGUCAGAAGACAGUUGUAGCAAGCAAGACGGACCUUCCGAGGGGCUGACUUGGGUCGCUGAGGGCAGGCUCCUGCCACGCAAGCUGUUGCAGCCCUGUGAUGGUGAGGUCCUCCACCCAGGGGAGCGAGUGGGGCUGUGCAAGGGGGCUGCCUGGUGAGUGAGAACUCCUGCAGGUCUGCCUGCCCCCUAAUCCCUGCUUAGGAACUGGAGGGUGUCAGAGCCCCCUGUGUGCUCUCCCUCAGCAAUAUGAGGACUCUGAACACCUCUACUAUGGAUGGGGCUGGGCUGGUGGUAGAGAGAGACUUCUCAUUCCGCAUCCUUACAGCCUGUUUCCUGUCUCUGCUCAUCCUGUCCACACUGCUGGGGAACACACUGGUCUGUGCCGCUGUCAUCAGGUUCCGACACCUGCGGUCCAAGGUGACCAACUUCUUUGUCAUCUCCUUGGCCGUGUCAGAUCUCUUGGUGGCCGUCUUGGUCAUGCCCUGGAAAGCGGUGGCGGAGAUCGCUGGUUCUGGCCCUUUGGGUCCUUCUGUAACA
rnacentral:lncRNA from 1 species